GUUCACUAUGAUGUUUUUAUAAAUGACUUGGAUGCAGGACUUGAAGGUAUACUGAGUAAGUUUGCAGAUGACACUAAAUUAGAAUGAGCUGUUGACUCCAUCGAGGGUAGAGAGGCCUUGAAGAGAGAUCUUGACAAAUAAGAGGGAUGGGCAAUCACCAAAAAUAUGAAGUUUAAUGA